GAAAAUCUUCAGGGCAAGGUGAAAUUCCUGACCGGCGGUAAUGGCGAUGGCGAACCAUCGUCUGAGCCCGCGACUCGUGGACCGUGACGGUUUGCGACUGAUCUGGUGCAACUCCAGAGCCGACGGUAAAGUCCGGAUGGAAGAAGAGCUGA
rnacentral:ncRNA from 2 species